GAUGAACGCUGGCGGCGUGCCUAAUACAUGCAAGUCGAGCGAACGGACGAGAAGCUUGCUUCUCUGAUGUUAGCGGCGGACGGGUGAGUAACACGUGGAUAACCUACCUAUAAGACUGGGAUAACUUCGGGAAACCGGAGCUAAUACCGGAUGAUAUUUUGAACCGCAUGGUUCAAAAGUGAAAGACGGUCUUGCUGUCACUUAUAGAUGGAUCCGCGCUGCAUUAGCUAGUUGGUAAGGUAACGGCUUACCAAGGCAACGAUGCAUAGCCGACCUGAGAGGGUGAUCGGCCACACUGGAACUGAGACACGGUCCAGACUCCUACGGGAGGCAGCGUAGGGAAUCUUCCGCAAUGGGCGAAAGCCUGACGGAGCAACGCCGCGUGAGUGAUGAAGGUCUUCGGAUCGUAAAACUCUGUUAUUAGGGAAGAACAUAUGUGUAAGUAACUGUGCACAUCUUGACUGUACCUAAUCAGAAAGCCACGGCUAACUACGU
rnacentral:rRNA from 1 species